AUUGAACGCUGGCGGCAGGCCUAACACAUGCAAGUCGAGCGGAUGAAGGGAGCUUGCUCCUGGAUUCAGCGGCGGACGGGUGAGUAAUGCCUAGGAUUCUGCCUGGUAGUGGGGGAUAACGUCCGGAAACGGGCGCUAAUACCGCAUACGUCCUGAGGGAGAAAGUGGGGGAUCUUCGGACCUCACGCUAUCAGAUGAGCCUAGGUCGGAUUAGCUAGUUGGUGGGGUAAAGGCCUACCAAGGCGACGAUCCGUAACUGGUCUGAGAGGAUGAUCAGUCACACUGGAACUGAGACACGGUCCAGACUCCUACGGGAGGCAGCAGUGGGGAAUAUUGGACAAAGGGCGAAAGCCUGAUCCAGCCAUGCCGCGUGUGUGAAGAAGGUCUUCGGAUUGUAAAGCACUUUAAGUUGGGAGGAAGGGCAGUAAGUUAAUACCUUGCUGUUUUGACGUUACCAACAGAAUAAGCACCGGCUAACUUCGUG
rnacentral:rRNA from 1 species